rnacentral:rRNA from 1 species
GAGACGUACCCCCUCCGACGAAGACCGAGAGAGAUCGAAACACAACCGGUAGCGUUGGAUCCCUUGGCACGCCGAUCGAUGAAGACCGUUGCAAACUGCGAUAAGUGGUGUGAUGCGCAAGUCUAAAACUUAUAAGUGAAUCAUCGAAUCGUUG